rnacentral:rRNA from 1 species
GACGAACCGUGCGAACGUUAUUCGGAAUCACUGGGCUUAAAGCGCGUGUAGGCGGGCCGCCGGGGCGGCUGCUGAAAUCCCCCGGCUCAACCGGGGAAGGGGCACCGAUACGGGCGGCCUGGAGGGGGGUAGGGGGGUCUGGAACUUCCGGUGGAGCGGUGAAAUGCGUUGAGAUCGGAAGGAACGCCCGUGGCGAAAGCGAGGCCCUGGACCCUUACUGACGCUGAGACGCGAAAGCCAGGGGAGCGAACGGG